AGACAACUGUCUCGUGGAGGGUGCUGGGAGGAGCCAUGGGGGAGUGCGUAUACUGCGGGCUAACCAGCGCUUAGUUGCGCGGUGCCUGUGGGUGCUCUGCCGGGAGCCUUCUGCUAAGGUGCUCUGCAUGUAGAACACACACACAGUGGAGACACGUAUGCACGUUUUUCUGGGUGCACAUGGUGCUUUGGGCUGGCAACGGCCCAGAGUGCAGCACACAAAACACAAACAAAAAUGCAGUGUAGAAAAUAGUCAGCAAAAAAACACGAGUUCUGGGGCAGUGCGCGAGUGCUGUGGCAGGACGAGUGAUGUACAAAUCUUCAAAACUUUCAACAACGGAUCUCUUGGUUCUCGCAUCGAUGAAGAACGCAGCGAAAUGCGAUACGUAGUGUGAAUUGCAGAAUUCCGUGAAUCAUCGAAUCUUUGAACGCACAUUGCGCCCCUUGGUAUUCCAGGGGGCAUGCCUGUUUGAGCGUCAUUUCCUUCUCAAACAGCGAUGUUUGGUUGUGAGUGAUACUCGGAAGAGUUAGCUUGAAAAUGCUGGCCGGUGGCUGCAGUGGCCGUGGGUCUCUGCUGGACGUCUUCGUACUAGGUUCUGCCAAUUCGGGGACAGCUGGCGGGGGUUAAGCCCGUUGACGGCUGCGAGAAGACAGCAGUGGCGAACAGUGUUCUUUUAAGUUUGACCUCAGAUCAGGUAGGAGUACCCGCUGAACUUAAGCAUAUCAAUAAGCGGAGGGAAA
rnacentral:rRNA from 1 species